rnacentral:lncRNA from 10 species
CUCCGGGGCGGGGCGCGGCGCCAGCCUAGCCCGAGGAUGGAGGCUGAGGCCGCCUGUUGAGUCACAGUUUCCCUGUGAUGCUCAUUUUAACCAGAUGGCACUUGCUUAGCAGUUUGGAGGAGAAGACCUGUUCCCCUGCAGCCUUCCAUGAUUAGACCUCAACUCAUGAGAACUCUUGCCUUGCUCACAAGUGGGAGUAAAUGCUCAUAGCUCUAGAAAUCUCCCAGGAACCAGACAUCACGGAAACUAGAAAGGCUAAGGGAGUCCAAUCUUCCUCUAAAUUGGCCAACAGUAGAGUGGUGGAAAGAGAACAAGCUGCAAACCAGACAGACCCAAGCUUGAAUCUCACCUCUGCCAAGCUACCAGGUACGUGAGUUUUUCCAAGUUAUAUCACUCCCCUGAUACUCAGGCGCCUCAUUUGAAAGAUGAAGCCUCUUCCUAUCUUACAAGGAUGAAGCAUAUGGAAUGGAAAGCCCUCUGUCAAUGUGGUUAUCUUUGGAAGUGAUUGCAGCUCUCUUGCUUCAUUCUCGCACACCUCUGGAGCCCUUGGUCUCAGUUAGAAUCCCAGCCCUGACACUUAAUGAGGUGUGUAACUUGUCCAAAUAAUCUAACUUCUUUGUACUGUUUCCUCAUCUUUAAAAAGAGGACAAUAAUAGCACUACCUACACAGCACUGUUGCAAGGAUUUAGUGAGUUAAAGUGUGCGUAGUACAUACAGCAGAGCGUGUAGAAGUAUCCAGUGAACUGUUAUUAUCAUAUGAAGAGACUAUUUGGUUGAUCUCGUCAAGGACAGAAAGCUCCUUGGGGCUUGAAACCUUGCCUGUAUACCAGUUACAGACUCCCUUUUGCUGUUAAACCCAGUCCUUAGGAUGCUCAGUCAAAUCCUGUGGACUUACUGGCUGUUCUGCUGACGUGGAAACAAGGUGGGGUGUGACCCAUCUCCGGGCGAGUAAACUUUUGGGCACCUGACAGUGUCAGAGCCUCGGGUACCACCUGUAAAUGGAUGGAACCCUGUGUCUGUGCCCAUAGCAUUGGUCUGGUCUGUCAUCAGAAAGGAAUCUUGCUGUCAGAUGAUCACACAUCCUCCCAUAGUCUAGUUUAGUUUAGUUUAGUUUAGUUUAGUUUAGUUUAGUUUAGUUUAGUUUAGUUUAGUUUAGUUUUUUAAGACAGGGUCUCGCUCUGUCACCCAGGCUGGAGUGCAAUGGCAUGUUCAUGGCUCACUGCAACCUUGACGUCCCAGGUUCAAGCGAUUCUCUCACUUUUGUCUCCCAAGUAGCUGGAACUACAGGCAUGCACCACCAUGCCUGGCUAAUUUAAACAUUUUUUGUAGAGAAGGGGUUUACCAGUGUGGCCCACGCUGGUCUUGAACUCCUGGGCUCAAGCGAUCCUCCUGCUUUGGCCUCCCAAAUUGUUGGGAUUAUAGGCGUGAGCCACUGCACCUGGUCCCCCAGAAGCUAAAGGAUGGUGCAGGUUCUGUUUUUAAAUGUACCUGUUAAGUAUGUAUUAGCUCAAACAGAGUUUACCUGAGAUGUGCAUCUGGGGUCCACCCUCUUUGGCACUGUCCCUCAUUUUCCUCCUCCAACAUUCUCCCAAUCUCUCUCUGUUAACCCCAACAACCUGCCACCCCUCCCUAACAAAGGAUUCCCAGCUCAAGGCCAAUUCCAAUUGGAUCGAGUUUUUCUUCUGCAGAAAUUGUGGGGAGGUGGCUUCAGAGGCUCACAAGCAGAACCCCACCCAGACACAUAAACUUUUCUUUGGCUGGUACCAACUCCUCUAUUGCAGGGUAUGGUCCAAGUAGGUUAUACAAGUCUCUACCUCUUCUAGCUGAAGCCAACCUCCCAGGAAAAGGAUGAGAGGAGAAAGCCAUCCUGCCUGGUGUGUGGAUAAUACCACCACCAGAGUCUCCUGUAAUUUUGAUUCGAUGGCAUGCAGCUGCGUGACCUAAGGCACGUAUCUCCAUUCACAGGGUGUGGUCAGUACUCUGUGAAUAUCAGGUGUUCUGUCUGCCCUGUCUCCUGUCUUCCUGGAGCCUGCCCUUACCCAGUGAGUCCCUGGAGGGAACAUUCUGGCAUCUGGCUGUGAGCUGUCACAGACAUGGGUUUCUUUCGGUUCCCAGAAUGAUGGGAUGCCAGCCGCUGGCUGCCCCCAAGAAACUUGGGAGCAGGACAGGCUUGGCUGUCCCAGAGGAAGAGCCUGGCAUUGGGCCAGGAGGCUCAGGAGGGAAGAUGAGCUCAUUCUGCCCAGCUCGGUUCUCCCGUAUGCAGACCAGGUCAUCACAGGGACCUGCCUCCACAUUUGCAUCCCCCACGGCAUAUUUUCCCAGCACAUGCAGCAUUGGGAACUUGAACGUCCCUCUGCUUUUCCUUGGUGAGACCCACCAGCCCCGCCUUAGGAAGGAGGCUGAACAUUUGACGGAGCUUUCCUGUCACCUGUGAGCGACGUGCACGCUGCUUCCGAAGAAAGAGACAUCCCCCUACUGUUUUCUCACAGUGGGAUGAUUCAACUUUUUCUUUCUCACAAUCCCAGAUAAUCAUAUCUUCCCAGGUUUUGUCAUCUUUGAGGACUACUCACUAUCUAGUUAUGAGUCAAACAAAACCCAAUUUAACUGAUAACUAACCAGCCAUCACGUAUCCCUGAAGAUAAACCUGGUUUAUCCUUUUUAUACCCUCUGGCAGAGCAAAGGAACAAGGAGUUUGGGAGAGAAAAAAAAACACAACACUAGAAACAGCACUGACACAGGUCGUUAAAUACAGAUGUGACCAGCCUUGAUUACAAGUGUUGUCAUCCUCUUUUAACAGGGACCUACCCCGAACUUUCAUGAACCCCUGGUAGCUGAAUAGCAGCUUGUCUAAGCGAGGUGCAGGGAUUUUGUCAAAGUCGGCCUCGGUGUUAAAGGCAGGGCCACCUACCAUGAACUUCUCUCUGUGACUUUAUUCUUUAGCAGUGCUCAAGUGUAAAUAAACUUGUUUACCAGGAUCAGAAUGGCCAUGUUAAUGAAGUCUUAUUUGUGUCACCACAAUGACAAGUAAUUUGUGCACAGCUGGACUCGGAGAGGGGACAAAACCAGAGAAAUUGUAUUUCUGUUCUGAAGUUUCCAUACAGAUGCCUUAGGCCAAAGUUAGUACAGCCAAUAUUUGCCUGUUUCUUUGGAUUGUGUGUCCAUGCUGGAGAAAAGCCUUGUUACUGUGCCCAGUGUGGUAAACGAAAUUAUAUGUACGCAGUGAGAAGAAAAAUGAAAUAAGAAGCACUGAUGAAUGUACCCACGGGUGUGACCUUGGGGGCCAGUGUGUGGUUUUUAUGAAAUGAACGCAUGAAUACGAGGACCCUAAUUAUUGCUUUCAACGGACAAAGUAUGGUGAAUAUAUAGAGAACGUUGCUGUACAACACUGGCUGUGUCUCAAAGCGGCUUUAGAAGUAAAUAUAGAAAUUCUUUGGUACAUGGUAUUGCAUAGAAAAGUCAUUAAGAAAAAAGCAAGACAAUUUGUUAAGACCUUGUUAAGUGGAGCUGGGGGAUGAUUAAUUUUGUUUGUUUGUUUUUGUUGUUCCCUGGUAGAGCUCAACAAACUACAGACCACGGGCCAAAUCUGACCCACCGCUGCUUUUGUAAAUAAAACUUUAUUGGAAAAAAGCCACAUUUGUGUAUGUGUUGUCUGUGGCUGCUUUUGUGCUACCGAGACAGAGGCAAGAAAGGAGAGAAAAAGAGGCAUGGAGCAGGUAUAUUACGGGUUGAAUUGAGUUCACCAAAAAGAUAUGUUGAAAUCCAAAGCCCCAGUGUCUGUGAAAGUUACCUUAUUUGGAAAUAAGGUCUUUGCCAAUGUAAAGAUAAAGUCAUGCUGAAUUAAGGUGAGCCCUAACCUAAUAUGGCUGGUGUCCUUAUAAGAAGAGAAGAGACAGACAAAGGGAAGGAGUCCAUGUGACCACAGGGCCAGUGGAAGUGAUGCAACUGCCUGCCAAGUGCACCAAGGAUGGGUGGCCACCAGCAGAAGCUCGGAAGAUGCAAGGAAGGAUUCUAUCCAGAGUUACAGAGGGAGCAUGGCCCAGCUGACACCUUGAUUUCAAACCUGUAGCCUCAAGAAAUGUGGAUAAUGACCUUCUGUCAUUUUAAGCCACCCCGUCUGCAACACUUUCUUAUGGCAAUGUGAUGGGUAAGCUUAUGUGUCAAUGUGACUGAGCCCCAGGAUGCUUAGAUACUUGAUGAAACA